GAGAGAAAAAAAAAAUGCUCGACAUGAAAAACGAGGGAGAAAGGCCUCCUCUGUCAGCGGCGCAGCAAUGCCCCAAGUGGCAAUGGCCUGUCCGGCACAAUGUAAGCUAGCCUGCAAGCACACAGGCCACCUGCUGCGCACGCAAGGGGCUAGCUUGUGCACGCGUAGGGCUUAGGUGUGUUGGGCGCCACGCGCACAGGUCUACUGUGCUCAGGGCCUAGGCGCACAGGGGCCUAUCCACACGCAAGGGUCAGCACAGCCGACCCACCUGCGUGAACAGGACGCGCGCACAGACGAGAUGGGCGCGUUGCGCGCACUCCUGCAUCUAAUGUGCGAGCGUGCAUGCGCGCAUAGUGCGCAGGUAGCUUUCC
rnacentral:lncRNA from 1 species